GCGGGUUAAUCGAAUACCGGUGCAUCGC
rnacentral:sRNA from 1 species